rnacentral:rRNA from 1 species
AUUGAACGCUGGCGGAAUGCUUUACACAUGCAAGUCGAACGGCAGCACGGACUUCGGUCUGGUGGCGAGUGGCGAACGGGUGAGUAAUACAUCGGAACGUGCCCAGUCGUGGGGGAUAACGUAGCGAAAGCUACGCUAAUACCGCAUACGAUCUAAGGAUGAAAGCGGGGGAUCGCAAGACCUCGCGCGAUUGGAGCGGCCGAUGGCAGAUUAGGUAGUUGGUGGGGUAAAGGCCUACCAAGCCGACGAUCUGUAGCGGGGCUGAGCGGACGACCAGCCAAGCUGGGACUGGGACACGGCCCAGACUCCUACGGGAGGCAGCAGUGGGGAAUUUUGGACAAUGGGCGCAAGCCUGAUCCAGCCAUUCCGCGUGCAGGAUGAAGGCCCUCGGGUUGUAAACUGCUUUUGUACGGAACGAAAAGGCUCUGGUUAAUACCCGGGGCUCAUGACGGUACCGUAAGAAUAAGCACCGGCUAACUACGUGCCAGCAGCCGCCGUAA